GAAAUGACUUGAGAGGUGUAGAAUAAGUGGGAGCCGUUUUCGGUGCAAGUGAAAUACCACUACUUUUAACAUUAUUUUACUUAUUCUGUGGGGCAGAGAUGGGGCAUUGCCCCUGUUUUUGGCCUUAAAAAAUGUUUCAACAGGUCGAUCCGGGCGGAAGACAUUGUCAGGUGGGGAGUUUGGCUUGGGCGACACAUCUGUUAAAAGAUAACGCAGGUGUCCUAAUAUGAGCUCAACGAGAACAAAAAUCUCGUGUGGAACAAAAGGGUAAAAGCUCAUUUGAUUUUGAUUUUUAGUACAAAUACAAACCGUGAAAGUGUGGCCUAUCGAUCCUUUAGACCUUCAGAAUUUGAACCUAGAGGUGUCAGAAAAGUUACCACAGGGAUAACUGGCUUGUGGAAGCCAAGCGUUCAUAGCGACGUUGCUUUUUUAUCCUUCGAUGUUGGCUCUUCCUAUCAUUGUGAAGCAGAAUUCACCAAGUGUUGGAUUGUUCACCCACCAAUAGGGAACGUGAGCUGGGUUUAGACCGUCGUGAGACA
rnacentral:ncRNA from 1 species